rnacentral:rRNA from 1 species
AGUAACGCGUAGGUAACCUGCCUUGUAGCGGGGGAGUAACUAUUGGAAACGAUAGCUAAUACCGCAUAACAAUGGGUGACACAUGUCAUUUAUUUUGAAAGGGGCAACUGCUCCACUACAAGAUGGACCUGCGUUGUAUUAGCUAGUAGGUGAGGUAACGGCUCACCUAGGCGACGAUACAUAGCCGACCUGAGAGGGUGAUCGGCCACACUGGGACUGAGACACGGCCCAGACUCCUACGGGAGGCAGCAUG